rnacentral:rRNA from 1 species
UACGUAGGGGGCAAGCGUUGUCCGGAUUUAUUGGGCGUAAAGAGCGUGUAGGCGGCUGGGUAGGUCCGUUGUGAAAACUCGAGGCUCAACCUCGAGACGCCGAUGGAAACCCUCCAGCUAGAGUCCGGAAGAGGAGAGUGGAAUUCCUGGUGUAGCGGUGAAAUGCGCAGAUAUCAGGAAGAACACCCGUGGCUAAGGCGGCUCUCUAGUACGGUACUGACGCUGAGACGCGAAAGCGUGGGGAGUGAACAGG